rnacentral:rRNA from 1 species
ACCAGACUCCUACGGGAGGCAGCAGUGGGGAAUAUUGGGCAAUGGGCGCAAGCCUGACCCAGCAACGCCGCGUGAAGGAAGAAGGCCCUCGGGUUGUAAACUUCUUUUAUCAAGGACGAAACAAAUGACGGUACUUGAUGAAUAAGCCACGGCUAACUACGUGCCAGCAGCCGCGGUAAUACGUAGGUGGCAAGCGUUAUCCGGAUUUACUGGGUGUAAAGGGCGUGUAGGCGGGACUGCAAGUCAGAUGUGAAAGCCAUGGGCUCAACCCAUGGCCUGCAUUUGAAACUGUAGUUCUUGAGUGUUGGAGAGGCAGGCGGAAUUCCGUGUGUAGCGGUGAAAUGCGUAGAUAUUAGGAGGAACACCAGUGGCGAAGGCGGCUUACUGGACUGUAACUGACGUUGAGGCUCGAAAGCGUGGGGAGCAAACAGGAUUAGAUACCCGAGUA